rnacentral:rRNA from 1 species
CUACGGGUCGCUGCAGUCGAGAAUCUUCCACAAUGGACGAAAGUCUGAUGGAGCGACACCGCGUGAUCGAAGAAGCCCUGAGGGGUGUAAAGAUCUUUUCUAUGGGAAGAAGUUAUUGACGGUACCUUAGGAAUAAGGGGGUGCUAAUCACGUGCCAGCAGCAGCGGUAAUACGUGACCCUCGAGCGUUAUCCGGAUUAAUUGGGCGUAAAGCGUCUGUAGGCGGUUUAGAAAGUUUUUGGUUAAAGUCUAAGAGCUCAACUUUUAGAAUGCCAAGAAAACUUCUAGACUAGAGGGCAUUAGAGGUUAGCGGAACGGUUAGUGGAGGGGUGAAAUCCGUUGAUAUUAACCGGAACACCGAAAGCGAAGGCAGCUAACUGGGAUGACCCUGACGCUGAGAGACGAAAGUGUGGGGAUCGAAGAGGAUUAGAUACCCCAGUAGUC